UUUCUAGUUUAUUAUUAAAUUACAUAGCAAAGCUUCUUCUAUACAGUCAGAAAAUGCACAUUUAGAUGAGAACAAAAAUUAAAUACAAAUACAAUUAAACUGGUUCCAAGAAGCCAUUUUAAAAGCAAAAAAAUUAGAAAGUGCAUUUGGAAUAGAUUUUUAAAAAUCUGUAUUGGCAUUUUUCAAGAGUAAACAUCUUCCAUCAUGGUAAAGUGUGAUUGGAAUCGAUUUCCCUCCCUAAGAGCUAAUAGGAUGGCAAUAAAUGCAAAUACUUUGAUACUAAAGUGAGACCUUCUGUAUAAAGAAAAUGAGAAAGACAUGGCUCAGCUUCUUAUCCAAUUAACAUCCUUAAGAAUCACUUGUUCCUCAUUUUCCUUUCCCCUAUAAGAAGGAUUAGAAGAUUUAUAAAGGAGUAACAAGAUUAGGUUAUAAAGUCCAUGAUGUAAAGCUCUGCAUCUUUUUGGAGACCAGCUAAAUAACCCCUAACCCAAAAGGAGAAUGGAACACAAUCAUUUUAAUUUUCUGAGUAGAAUCCGUUUGUUCUUUAGUUACAUUUGCCACAAAAUCUAGUGCAACACUAGACAUGGCCACUUAGACUCAUCAGCUUAAUGUUGCAAGUUAGAGAACUCAAUUUCCAAGAAAUCAAUCUGAUUGAUGAUCAAACAUAAGGUAUUAGAAACCAAAAGGCUAGUCCAGUUUUUUAAAGUCCUUUCACCAAGUUGAGAUUAUUAACAGUGAAACAGAAAGUUAACGGUGGGAAUGCAAGUCCAAGGUGCCUCAAUUAUUUAGAGGCCAAAAGGCUCAAUAGGUACAUUUCUCUAUUCGGGUUUACUUAGCAUUCAAUAGGAAAGAACUAAAGUGAAGAUAUUUGAUUCUAGGUACAAAAAGUCUCAUGAUGUCUCCCCUCCCGUCACCCAUCUCAUCUCAGGAUUUCACUCCCCUGCCUGAUCUGAUUCCUGGGCAGUGUGGGAAACGGCAUUCUCUGUAAAGUGAAUUUUGGUAGAAAGGAGAGAGGAAUAGUGGAGAAGGAAAGCCCUUUUCUAACAGGAGACAAAUAAAGGGUGACCAAUGCAGGUUACAGGGAAUCCUUCAGCUUCUAAAAGUGAUAAUAACAGAGACACCAGGACAGACACUAAAGCACUUGGACAUUUGGGCUUGAACUUUAGUAAGAGAUUUUUUAACUUUUACUGAAGUUACCAGCACACAUUAAAACAGUCUCAGAAGUGUAUGUUUUGGAAUUUUCUGCCUUUAUGUUGCCAUGGUUUUUCAUACUUUCUAGUGAAAUGGAAAGUUUUGAGUGGUUACAAAAAAGAUCCCCAAAGGAAAGAUCAUCAUAUAAGACAAUAGCUGAGGGAGACCGCUCCCUCUAAGAGGCAACAUUUGGGACUAGAAAUAGCAAAGUCCUUCUGCUCUGACUUUCUCUAAGAGUAGCCUACUGUUGGCUCCUGGGCCUACCAACAGGUCUGUAAGAAUGGCAAAAAAGGAGAAAAACCAAGAUGGUAAAAAAAAAAA